UGUAAUCCAGGUUCCAUAUUCUAGGUUCCCCUACUUGACUGGUAUUAAGGCCGUGCCCCUUUCUCUUUAUAAACAUAUAUGUUCCUGUCCACAUGUGUGUAUGUGGCGUGUUGGGGAGUGGGUUUGCCUGUGCCUGUGCAUAUAAAGUGUGUUUGAGUGUGAGUGGUUUGUUUGUGUGAUGUCAGCUCUGCGCUCCUGUGGAUUUUGGAUUUUGCGGUCUGCUGUGGAGCUGUAAAUGGGUCAAUUCACCACUGAGUACUUCUCUCCAAUCAAGCCUCCAAUCAAGCCACCAAUCCUUACACAUCCUAAAACUCCACUGUUGGAGUAGACUUUAUUCCUCUGGCACAUACAGACCAAAGAAGAAGAAGUAAAAGAGACAUAAGAGAUAAAAGACAGGAGAUUUCCAGUCCCAGAGGAACUUCACACAGCACAUGUGCCAAAGCAGGUAGACAGACAGCAGAUGAGUACAGCAGGGAUGGAGAAAAAGGAAAGUGGAAAGAGGCUCAGUUCUGGCAUUUGACUAACAGUGAGAUUAAUGCAGGACGGCAGGUGCCAUCUAUCACUUGAUCUAUCACUUUUUCAUUACUGGAUAAAUAGCAUCACCCUCAGGGAUGGACAUUAAGUAAACAGUCACACCCUGCAAGGCGUUGUCCAAGUGAUAUUCUGCAGGGUGGAAGGGUAAUGAUUUGGCGGUGGGUGGUCAUGGGUGGUGUUUUAGUGGCUUUCAACCAAGAGGUUCUCGUGUUAUUCUGUGUUGUGCAAACAGCAGCUGCUUCUCCCAUCUGGAGCCGCCAAGACUCCGUCCUCUCAAAGCUCCACGCCCCAUGUGUACAGUACGUCUCUCUGAGACAUAGGGAAGUAGUGAACGAAACAAACACGUCAGACAGAGAGAAGGAGAACGAGAAAAGAAAGAGAAACGACAAGAGAAAGACAGAAAGGGACAGAGCUCCAGUGUGAAGCUAGCUUCUCUAGGAGAACUUUGAUGAUGGUCCCUAACACCUGACUGCGGUCCAAUCAGCUGGAAGCGAACUGAGCUGCUCAAAGAUGCGCUGCUGGAUCACUUUUGACAGCCACUGCAGAAGUCAUGUGAUUAAACAAUUACCUCAUACCUUUCGUGCGCGCACGAGCGCGUGCGUGCGUGCGUUGUAUUUGGGUAGGCGCGAUUGGCAUA